GCAGAAUCUCAGAGGUAUCACCCUCCCCUCUAAAGUUUGUUUUAAAAUAGUAUACAUAAACUGCCACUUACUGUACUUGAAGGGGGGGGAGCGGUUCUAAACCCGGAAAGAAUAGAAUUUGGAUGAAGGAGACUGUUUCUAAUUCUGAGCCGACCCGAGCAUUCCCGAGGCAUUAUAUUACUUUGUUUCUCGUUGCUCCUUUCCAUUCAUCCCAUUUCUCCCACCCCCAUCCUGACUCCAGCCGGCCGAGAGAUACAAAUCACGCGGAUAUAUAUAUAUGUAUAUUUAAAAUCACCUUACACUAAGGGCGAACGCGGAGGGAGGAAGUGGAAAGAAUACUAAAAGAAGACAAGUGAGAAAGGAGGCAGUGCGAAAGAUGAUCGAUCGUGAAGACUCACAUGGCUGCGUGAUGACCGGGUUUCCUCGCACUCAGGGGUUUCGGCGGCUCCUGAAGUCUUCUUUCUCCCCGCCGAGUUUGGACUGCAGCUCGUCCUUCGAGCAGCUCUCGCAGCGAAGCGAUCGAAAGCUGCAGCACCGGUCACUUUGCUACAGGGAACAAAACACGGGAGGGCUUGUAUUACUCCAAGGCACAAAGUGUUGAUCAUUCAUUCAACCAUACCAAACAUGAACCUCUUCUACAGGGAAUCUUCCAAAUAAUAAUGAAUUAACUUAAUUAAUUUUUUAAAACUAAAUUCAAUUGUUUGUAACUUCUGCCUUUAUGUUUACCUGGUUUCUUAUUAAUCUUGUCUGGGAGAUUAAAUGUGGAGAAUAUGUUGAGAACUGGUCCACCGAUGUGUUCAUACUAUACAAUAUGCAUACACUGAACUGAAAGAGUUGGACAGGGAGGCUUCAAGGACUCACAUAUCCAAGACAACUACUAACAUUUUGGCAUCACUGGGUAUUGAGCAGUGGCACCAGAAGGAAGCCAGGUAUUUUCCUUCAGCGUUGGUUUGUAAUAUGACUAUGUAUGUAAAGGGCCAAGGUCAAACAACUUCUGGAUAGCUCCAUGGUAUUGGUAUCUGGCUGUAGGGCCAGAGCUUGGGCAUUCCAAUUCCCCACUGUGUCUCACUGACAAGGGCUGGACUCAGUUAUCCAUAGGGUCCUGUCCAGCUCUGCAGUUCUAAGAUUAAUAUUAGAUUGUAACUACAGGAAACCCAAACUCCCAAACCAUCUUCUUGAAGGGAAAAAAAUUACCAGUAUAAAAGAUGGUGAUAGGAGAUACCCAAUUUUUCUGUCAGAAGCCAGUUCUUCCUUUCUAAAUCUCUUUCUUAUUCAACACAUAUGUUCUCCAGCAUAUAUUAUUUUUUUCACUGCAUAAAAAUCCAUUCAACGCUCUAAUCCAGGUACUUUCUUCCUAUCCAGAGAUUAUAAUUGCCAUGAUUCAGAUUACACUGAUAUCAUGCCAUACACAUUGCACCUGGAAGACUUACAUAAAUUUUGACUUUUGGUAACUUUUCUGAUACCACCUGCUUAAAAUUCCAAAUGUUGAAGAACUAUGUGCCUUCUUUUUCACCAUGUAUAUAAAGAUUAAAAAUAAAUGUCAAGUGAACUUUUGCCUUGAUUUUUUU
ensembl:lncRNA